AGCAUUAGAGGAUAGAAAUGGCAGCUAUCGCACAUUAUGUUAUGAGAUGCAGGAAUUGUCGCCCUGCCUAAUGUA
rnacentral:ncRNA from 12 species